ACGCUGGCGGCAGGCCUAACACAUGCAAGUCGAGCGGAAACGACACUAACAAUCCUUCGGGUGCGUUAAUGGGCGUCGAGCGGCGGACGGGUGAGUAAUGCCUAGGAAAUUGCCUUGAUGUGGGGGAUAACCAUUGGAAACGAUGGCUAAUACCGCAUAAUGCCUACGGGCCAAAGAGGGGGAUCUUCGGGCCUCUCGCGUCAAGAUAUGCCUAGGUGGGAUUAGCUAGUUGGUGAGGUAAUGGCUCACCAAGGCGACGAUCCCUAGCUGGUCUGAGAGGAUGAUCAGCCACACUGGAACUGAGACACGGUCCAGACUCCUACGGGAGGCAGCAGUGGGGAAUAUUGCACAAUGGGCGAAAGCCUGAUGCAGCCAUGCCGCGUGUAUGAAGAAGGCCUUCGGGUUGUAAAGUACUUUCAGUUGUGAGGAAGGGGGUAACGUUAAUAGCGUUAUCUCUUGACGUUAGCAACAGAAGAAGCACCGGCUAACUCCGUGCCAGCAGCCGCGGUAAUACGGAGGGUGCGAGCGUUAAUCGGAAUUACUGGGCGUAAAGCGCAUGCAGGUGGUUCAUUAAGUCAGAUGUGAAAGCCCGGGGCUCAACCUCGGAACUGCAUUUGAAACUGGUGAACUAGAGUGCUGUAGAGGGGGGUAGAAUUUCAGGUGUAGCGGUGAAAUGCGUAGAGAUCUGAAGGAAUACCAGUGGCGAAGGCGGCCCCCUGGACA
rnacentral:rRNA from 1 species